UAAGGGACUGAGUACAUAACUCAAAGUCAGAUGGAGAUGCAAUUCAACAAUGGAGCAGCUUGAAACAGCAGACAUCACUAUUGAUGAAUACAUGACAAUGGAUGCAGACGAAUGGUCGGAACUAGACGUCUAUGAAAACGGAGGCACACCUGAUGUUGGUUUUAACGGAACAGAGGAUUCAAGCAAGCAUCAAUCAGGCCCAGAUUCGAAAGGACAGAAGAGAGAAGAGUUAAAAAAAGAGAAAGCUGUAAUUGACAAACCGCGUCAAAACAACAAAAACACGACCACUGCUCCACCUUCCAUUCCUCUUACCGACAGAUACAUCACUAUCAGAUGGCCUCCAACGAAGGCUAAAAGACGAUUACAAGUAUUCAAAUCAGCUUUCUCCAAGAUUACUACAGUGGGUCUUUUUUUGCUGUGUAUUCUGUUACUUGGAGGGCUGCUUUUUAUGAUCUGCAAAAACUAUGCCAUUUUACUUGAGCUCAAGAUGCAACAGGAGUCAAUGAAAAGGAAUCUCUCCCACACGCCGAUCUAAAAUUGAAGCUCAUCUCUCUUAAGGAACGAAUGACCAGGGAUUAAAGCCAAUCUGGAGACACAUCUAUAACGUAAAGGGACAAACCACUUGUUUAAAUCAUUUGUCCUUAACCAUGUUAUCAUUUCUUAUCAUUAAUGUUUAUACAUUGUCAGCUAUACUGUGUGUUGUAAAGAUGUAAUAUAUAUAAUAUUUGGUGUACCAUAAUGUCUUGUUUUUUAAUAAUAUAUACAAACACACAACAAUCCGACAGAGCUUCUGCACCAUAUGAAAAUGUUAUAAAAACUCAUAUAUCUUUAACUUGUAUCAGGGUUGAGAAACUGCAUGUGUCAAGUGUCUCCUAAAGGGGGCAUUACAGUAACAUAACUCCAUCAAGUGUAUUGUGAAUGACACUUGCUAAAAGUGACCAUUAGCAUAUAGUUUAUAUCAUAAGCCUAAACUUUAUGAAGCUCAUAUAUGUAUGAAUUCCAUGCCAAAAUCAAUGAUUACUAAAACAACAUUUCAAGAAACAGUACCAGUAAUGCUAACACUAAGACAUCAGCAGUAAGUGGUACAUGAAAUGUGUGUAAAGGUUCUUGUGUUGUUUCACCUUGCUUUUUCCUCCGAUGCAUUUUCACACAUACUGUAAAAAUACACAGAAACAAGAGGACACAGGCGAUAUUCUACAAAAAACACACACAAACACACCCUGACACUAUGUAUUUCCAUUCAGCAGGCAACAGGAAAGGGAAACGCUGCUUCCUGUGGAAGAAUGGGCGGAGGCAGUAAUGGUCACCCUAUUGUAUGUUUGCGUGUGUGUUUCAAGAGUAUUGUUAAUAUGUGUGUGAGCUUAAACUCCUGCUCCAUCCGUCUGUUCUACCACUGUUGUCUAUGGGUUAUUGUUCAUCUCAAACUACAGUGUGUUCUGGGUCGUCCCUGAAGUUGCCUCUGGGACCUGGCGUUCACACCACUUGUUGGCCAUGCUUCCUGACAGCAGGGGUGAUGUCAGGCCAUGGGCCCCUUUCCCCUUGGCUGCAAUGCUCUCACGAACAUUGGUUACAGUUUGACAGUAAGAGUGAAAUAAACAAGAUUAACAUGA